AACGCUGCGGCGUGCUAACACAUGCAAGUCGAGCGAAGCGCUUGAAUUCGAUUCUUCGGUAGUGAGGAGUUCUUGUGACUGAGCGGCGGACGGGUGAGUAACGCGUGGGCAACCUGCCUUACACAGGGGGAGUAACAGUUAGAAAUGACUGCUAAUACCGCAUAAGACCGCAGUACCGCAUGGUACAGCGGUAAAAACUCCGGUGGUGUAAGAUGGGCCCGCGUCUGAUUAGGUAGUUGCGGGGUAACGGCCCACCAAGCCGACGAUCAGUAGCCGACCUGAGAGGGUGACCGGCCACAUUGGGACUGAGACACGGCCCAGACUCCUACGGGAGGCAGCAGUGGGGAAUAUUGCACAAUGGGGGAAACCCUGAUGCAGCGACGCCGCGUGAGCGGUGAAGUAUUUCGGUAUGUAAAGCUCUAUCAGCAGGGAAGAAAAUGACGGUACCUGACUAAGAAGCCCCGGCUAACUACGUG
rnacentral:rRNA from 1 species